CGCCAACAUCAAGAGUCGACGUAGUUCGACGCCAACCUGCUCCCGAGCAAGGUGGCGCCUCCGGCAACGGGGGGAUGUGGCCGGACCGGCAACCAACGGGACCCCU
rnacentral:ncRNA from 1 species